rnacentral:rRNA from 1 species
GAUGAACGUUGGCGGUGUGCCUAAUACAUGCAAGUCGAACGGAGUUAAUAGCAAUAUUGACUUAGUGGCGAACGGGUGAGUAACGCGUUGGGUGAUCUGCCUUGAAGUGUGGAAUAAACGCUCCGAAAGGAGCGCUAAUACCGCAUGUGCUCUCAAUUUUUAGAAAGUUGAGAGGAAAGGAUUUAUUCGCUUCGAGAGGAGCCUGCGUCCCAUCAGCUGGUUGGUAGGGUAAAGGCCUACCAAGGCAAUGACGGGUAGGGGACCUGAGAGGGUCGGCCCCCCACAAUGGAACUGAAACACGGUACCAUACACCUACGGGUGGCAGCAGUAGGGAAUAUUAGAAAUGGACGAAAGUCUGAUCUAGCAACACCGCGUGUGCGAAGAAGGCCUUCGGGUCGUAAAGCACUUUUUGGAAGGAAUAGGAAGGAAUGUACUUCCAGAAUAAGUCUCGGCUAACUACGUG